rnacentral:rRNA from 1 species
UACGUAGGUGGCAAGCGUUGUCCGGAUUUACUGGGUGUAAAGGGAGCGUAGACGGCUGUGCAAGCCAGAUGUGAAAGCCCGGGGCUCAACCCCGGGACUGCAUUUGGAACUGUGUAGCUGGAGUGUCGGAGAGGCAGGCGGAAUUCCUAGUGUAGCGGUGAAAUGCGUAGAUAUUAGGAGGAACACCAGUGGCGAAGGCGGCCUGCUGGACGAUGACUGACGUUGAGGCUCGAAAGCGUGGGGAGCAA